GACGAACCGUGCGAACGUUAUUCGGAAUCACUGGGCUUAAAGGGCGCGUAGGCGGCCCGGUAAGUCAAAGGUGAAAUCCCUCGGCUCAACUGAGGAACUGCCUUUGAAACUGUCGGGCUCGAGGCCGGGAGGGGGUAGCGGAAUUCCCAGUGUAGCGGUGAAAUGCGUAGAUAUUGGGAGGAACACCGGUGGCGAAGGCGGCUACCUGGACCGGUUCUGACGCUGAGGCACGAAAGCGUGGGGAGCAAACAGG
rnacentral:rRNA from 1 species